AAUUCAGCAGAUGGAUGGUGUGGUUCUCUGACCAGAAAAUGAACGCAGGCCAUGGCAGUGACAGCGCCGAGUCUUAACCACUAGA